rnacentral:rRNA from 1 species
AACGAACGCUGGCGGCAGGCCUAACACAUGCAAGUCGAGCGAGGACUUCGGUUCUAGCGGCGGACGGGUGAGUAACGCGUGGGAAUGUGCCCUUCUCUACGGAAUAGCCCUGGGAAACUGGGAGUAAUACCGUAUACGCCCUAUUGGGGAAAGAUUUAUCGGAGAAGGAUCAGCCCGCGUUGGAUUAGGUAGUUGGUGGGGUAAUGGCCUACCAAGCCGACGAUCCAUAGCUGGUUUGAGAGGAUGAUCAGCCACACUGGGGCUGAGACACGGCCCAGACUCCUACGGGAGGCAGCAGUGGGGAAUCUUAGACAAUGGGGGCAACCCUGAUCGAGCCAUGCCGCGUGAGUGAUGAAGGCCUUAGGGUUGUAAAGCUCUUUCAGCUGGGAAGAUAAUGACGGUACCAGCAGAAGAAGCCCCGGCUAACUCCGUG